GGCUGGUCCGAUGGUAGGUUCUCAGAACUUGCUAACAUUAGUGUCACUAAAGUUGGUAUAUGACCCCCCACUGCUAAUUUGAGUGGCUAUAA
rnacentral:Y_RNA from 1 species